UACGUAGGGUCCGAGCGUUUGUCCGGAAUUAUUGGGCGUAAAGAGCUCGUAGGCGGUUUGUCGCGUCUGCUGUGAAAUCCCGAGGCUCAACCUCGGGCCUGCAGUGGGUACGGGCAGACUGGAGUGCGGUAGGGGAGAAUGGAAUUCCUGGUGUAGCGGUGGAAUGCGCAGAUAUCAGGAGGAACACCUAUAGCGAAGGCAGCUUGCUGGGACGUAACUGACGCUAAGGCGCGAAAGCGUGGGGAGCGAACAGG
rnacentral:rRNA from 1 species